GGGGUGUGGUGGUGUCCCCGAGGCCACCCCUCCUGAUGUGAACCCCGCACGUGUGUUGGCAUGUUUGCACACGCCGACGCAGAGAUGCUGCUCCUCUCUCCUGGAGAUCAUGCGAGGGGUAUUGACUGCCUCGUGCUUGGUGGGGCCCAGGGGACCCAGGUGUCACCACUUCCCGUGCUCCUGCCCUCCGCCCCCACAGGGCUAUGCCCACUCGCAGGAGUUCAUCACCACGCAGGGGCCCCUCAAGAAGACUCUGGGGGACUUCUGGCGGCUGCUGUGGGAGCAGCAGGUCCGCGUCAUCCUCAUGCUGACCGUGGGCAUGGAUAACAGGAGGCCCCUAGCUCGCUGUUGGCCUUCGUGGAGCUGGUGCAGGAGCGAGUGAGGGCCUCCCGGGGCCCUGGGCCCAUCCUGAUGCACUGCAGCAGAGAGGAGAGCACUCGCUGCCAGAGCUGGGGACCCUGCAGUGCCCUCGGCCCUCCCCACCCCGCCCCCCAGGCUCCAGCCCAUCACCGCGGCCAGCUUCACCCAGGCAUGCGCAGAAAGGGCGGCCAACACCAACGCCGGCUUCCUGCAGGAGUACGAGGUACACUCGGGCCUGUGGGGGCAGUGAGAACUGAGGCAGCUGACACCCCACCUGGCGUGCCCUCCCACGGACUCUGCCCAGGCCCAGGUGUGUGUCUCUUCCAGCUCCUGCUCCAGGUCAUCGGGGAUGACGCUGGCUCUCUGAUGCCCUGCCCUGGCCGUGAGCAGGACAGCACUGUCCCCUGUGAGUGCCGUGGACAGCAUGGGUGGCCAGGGUGCUGGGUGGGGACACUGGCAGUCUCACAUUCCACCUUUCCUCAGACGCCCAUCCCCAGGUGGAGGAGAC
rnacentral:lncRNA from 1 species